AACGUUUGACCGUUCGUUUUAUUUAAAAAAAUUUUAUGAUUAGUAUUUUUAUUGUUAUUAGUAGAUGAUAAAACAUGAAAAAAAAAAUUUUAUGUGUCACUAUUUUUUUUUAUUUUUUUAUAAACUUUUCAAAUGAGACGGACGGUCAAAUGUU
rnacentral:pre_miRNA from 1 species